rnacentral:misc_RNA from 1 species
GAUGAAGAACGUAGCGAAAUGCGAUAAGUAGUGUGAAUUGCAGAAUUCAGUGAAUCAUCGAAUCUUUGAACGCACAUUGCGCCCCUUGGUAUUCCAUGGGGCAUGCCUGUUCGAGCGUCAUUUGUACCUUCAAGCCUUGCUUGGUGUUGGGUGUUUGUCUCGCCUCUGCGUGUAGACUCGCCUCAAAACAAUUGGCAGCCGGCGUAUUGAUUUCGGAGCGCAGUACAUCUCGCGCUUUGCACUCAUAACGACGACGUCCAAAAGUACAUUUUUACACUCUUGACCUCGGAUCAGGUAGGGAUACCCGCUGAACUUAAGCAUAUCAAUAAGCGGAGGA